rnacentral:lncRNA from 1 species
AAUUACUGAGUACUGAGUUAGAAGGAGAAAAAAUGUCUUCGAGUCUACCUCUCCUCAAUAAAGAGGUCUGAGUAGAGGCAACUUACAAAGGCCUCAGCCAAAGGCCACAAAUAAAGAGGCCUCCACCUGAGGACACUGGGGUCAAGAACACAGCUGUAUAAGUUUAAGAGCUUGGCCCACCAGUUGCAGUUGCCUGAAACUCCCUUCAGAAACUGUAAUUCAUUCUGUCCGCACCAAGUCAGCUGUGACAAAGCCAGCUCUCCCUGAGGCCUGCCAGAGUGUUAAAGAUCGAAAUUUCUCUAACUGGUGUCACUUGUAGCAGGGGCCAAUGUUAACUGUGAAGAUGGCUGGUAUUAUUUAUAACAAGGAGAGCCUGGCAGCAGACUUUGACCUUUCAAAUAUCGUUCCAUUUUCUGCAGGCCUUAAUUAUUUCUGAUAAGGGAAGGAAAGGCAUACACGGCAGUGACCUCCAAGGAAGAUAAGCACCACUGCACUUCAUAUACUGACUCCUCUUCGUGCCUACAGAUAAAUCUCUGAAAAGGUGAAGUAGGAAGGAAAUAAGAAAGGAAGAAAAAGCCAGGAGAGACUCAUUUUUCUUAUCAAUUUCAUUAACAAAAUACAAAGAUUCAGAAUCUGAAGUCAAUAGACAGUAAAUCACUUCCUAGCUAACUUCACAUUCACAGAAGCCCUAUGAAAGAUUAACAUAGAACAAUUCCUUUUACUGCAAUACACAGGCUAGAGAUAAGGACAAGAUUUCUCCUAACCCCUUGCUGAAAAAUUAAUGAGCACUCGGGUCAUAAGUCCAUUUUUUUUCCCCAAGCCAAAUCAGGAAGUUAUUUUUUUUCACACUAGGAGUACAAAGUCAAACUGGAACCAAAUAUUUAAACUACAGCUAGAUGAUUUCAAUUCUGUAAGUGUUCCAAUAAUUUUUUUCUUCCUUUCUGAGAAAAAGAAAACAAACUAAUAAUGUCCUAUUCAUUUAAUGUUUCAAGAGAACUAUUGAAUAAUAGACUAACUAAAGCUUAUUUUAACUACCAAUUCUAACUAAAGGUUAACAUUUUUGGUAUUUAUGUUGAAAUAUGAUGGUUGUUACAGGAAGAUCAGUGAUGCUUAGCAUUGGAGAGUUAACAUGCCUAGAUUUCUUAGGAAACUAAAAAAAAUAAAUGAGGUCAAGUAACAUUUAAAUAACUUUAAGGAAAUUUAAAAAUAAUCUGGUAAGGUUGUCUCCAUAGCAAUUUCAGGGAAGUGGAGAGAUUCGUUCUUUUCAAAUGGUUCAAAGGUGAAAAAUAUAUAUUUCCAAAUCUAAACUUUGAUCUGUAUAUUUCUCAGAAACCAUGUGAUAUUCUAAUUAUACACUAAACUUGUAUUAUAUUAUAAUCUUAUUUACUUUUUCUGUAAUAUCCAUUCCUUAUUAUCUCUUCCUUGAAAUACCUGUACUUUAGAUAUUUUAAAUACU